AGACUUGGGGUACCAAAAACAGAAAAUAUUGACCAUGUUGAGGCAGUUAGCUGUCUUGGUCAGCACCCAGGUGUAUCCAUCAACACGGGCACGUUACAUCAAAAUGCAGAUAUGCAUUCCAGAAUGGUGACUGAAGCUCAUCUUUGUAAACACCUAAAUGCCUAGAAUGGACUCCAAAACAGAUUCUUAAAGUUUAACCAGUAUAAUCUUGAAUAUGGACAAAAAGUAUACACUUGGAACACACACAAAAACAGAUGAGUCCAUGCCAAGCUAAAGAUUAAUGCAGAAGGUAAGUUCAAUUUUUCAUUUCGUAACUCUUCUGGUUUUAUCCAGAUCGGACCUUACAUAUAAUUAAGUCAGCUUCAGUAUAUAAUAGAAGAUAUGGAGAUAACGAACAGUAAUCAAUCUCAAAGUCCAUAAAACAAUACAAAAUAAGAGCAGAGCAAACACGGACCCCCG